CGCAGCGAAAUGCGAUAAGUAAUGUGAAUUGCAGAAUUCAGUGAAUCAUCGAAUCUUUGAACGCAUCUUGCGCUCCUUGGUACUCCGAGGAGCAUGCCUG
rnacentral:rRNA from 1 species